rnacentral:misc_RNA from 1 species
UGUAGGAGCUGGCUUGCCUGCGAUGACGACGGAUCAGCCAAACAGUUGUCACUGAUAGUCCGCUAUCGCAGGCAAGCCAGCUCCCACA